CACACCGACAGACCUCUUCAGUGUUUGCUCCAAGUGCCACGAGCCUUGGGCGGGUUAAAGGUUUUCUGUGUUGCAUGCCUAUCAACGGUAUUGGUUCCCGAUAACUUCCUCCUCCGUCCGGCAUCCUCACGGGUGCUGGGUGGACCUACGUAGCCUGGUCCGUCUUCCAACCACGGUGCAACCGUUGGCCUGGGAUACGGAACCUGGCUGUGCCCCGGGAUGCAGAAAGUUGUGUGGGGGUGGUUCACUCGUCGCAUGCCCAAUGAAGCGUUUUACGCUCAGCACGGACGACUGCCGCGGACGAGUUGACGCCUCCUCUCCCCUAGGGGAGGGGGGCGCUCAUGCGUCCCGGCGUCGAACGAGGAGUGCUACCUGGUUGAUCCUGCCAGUAGUCAUAUGCUUGUCUCAAAGAUUAAGCCAUGCAUGUGUAAGUAUGAACAAAUUCAGACUGUGAAACUGCGAAUGGCUCAUUA
rnacentral:misc_RNA from 1 species